AACGAACGCUGGCGGCGUGCCUAACACAUGCAAGUCGAACGAGAAUUUUCCUUUCGGGGGAAUAGUAAAGUGGCGCAAGGGUGAGUAACACGUGAAUAAUCUGCCUACGAACUCGGGAUAACGCGGGGAAACCUGUGCUAAUACCGGAUAAGACCACGUCUCUCAUGUGAUGUGGCCAAAGGAGUCUCAAACUCCAUUUGUAGAUGAGUUCGCGGACCAUUAGCUUGUUGGAGGGAUAACAGCCCCCCAAGGCGACGAUGGUUAGCCGGCCUGAGAGGGUGAUCGGCCACACUGGAACUGAGACACGGUCCAGACGUCCUACGGGAGGCAGCAGUGGGGAUCUUGCACAAUGGGGGAAACCCUGAUGCAGCGAUGCCGCGUGAGUGAAG
rnacentral:rRNA from 1 species